AUUUGAAAUCUGGCCCCGUCGGGGUCCGAGUUGUAAUUUGUAGAGGGUGUUUCGGGCGCGAUGCCGGUCUAAGUUCCUUGGAACAGGACGUCGCAGAGGGUGAGAAUCCCGUACGCGGCCGGCGAUCAAGCCCAUGUGAAGCCCCUUCGACGAGUCGAGUUGUUUGGGAAUGCAGCUCAAAAUGGGUGGUAAAUUUCAUCUAAAGCUAAAUAUUGGCCAGAGACCGAUAGCGGACAAGUAGAGUGAUCGAAAGAUGAAAAGCACUUUGGAAAGAGAGUCAAACAGCACGUGAAAUUGUUGAAAGGGAAGCGCUUGCAAUCAGACCGGCCCGGAGGCGAUCAGCCGCUGCUCGUUCAGCGGUGCACUCGCCUGCGCUCCGGCCAGCAUCGGUUUGGGCGGUGGGAUAAAAGUCCCGGGAAUGUAGCUUCUUUCGGGGAGUCUUAUAGCCCGGGUCGCAAUGCCGCCUGCCCGGACCGAGGACCGCGCUUCGGCUAGGAUGCUGGCGUAAUGGUUGCAAGCG
rnacentral:rRNA from 1 species